rnacentral:rRNA from 1 species
ACUAUCCGCCCGGGAACUACGAGCAAUAGCUUAAAACCCAAAGGACUUGGCGGUGCUUUAGACCCACCUAGAGGAGCCUGUUCUAAAACCGAUAACCCCCGUUCAACCUCACCUUUUCUUGUUCUCCCCGCCUAUAUACCGCCGUCGUCAGCUUACCCUAUGAAGGCCCCUCAGUAAGCACAAUUAGUACAACCCAAAACGUCAGGUCGAGGUGUAGCGUAUGGAAAGGGAAGAAAUGGGCUACAUUCCCUAUUACAGGUAAUUACGGAUAAUAUUACUGAAACGUGUAUCUAGAAGGAGGAUUUAGCAGUAAGCAGAAAAUAGAGUGUUCUGCUG